rnacentral:rRNA from 1 species
AAAUAGAGCUCUGCAGAGAGAGUUAACACGGCGUGAAACCGUUAAUUGGCAAACGAAUAGGAGCCACGAAGUCGUUUCGCUGAUAGCCGGAGUCUGGUUCAGUUCAAUACCAAAAAGUAUUGGGCGUAUUCCAGUGCUUGGCCAUCUUUGUAAGCGUACACUGCAACCAGUUAGACGAUUGGUAAUGGGCCCAGCUAGAAAAGUUUCGGCUUCUUUGGCGAAGUAUAUGUCUGCUUGCAUCAGUAGUAGCGUGGCCCUCUCGGGGUGUCCGUGUUGCUAGGUGUAGGUAGGUGAACUAUUACCAAAUACUGACUGGCGAAAUGAAAAUCGCGUUCUUCGCGUUACAUAAAAAGCAUGGGUCUUCAUUAGUGUCUACCUAGUUGACCGGCAGGAUUAAGCUCAACAUUUUUGAAUUUGGACUUGCUUGCUACCAAUGGGGCAACUCUUGGUGCUUGUAUAGCUUCCAUCUAAUCGGGUGUUGACUUGUCUCGUUGUGUUCGGCUAGGAAACGAUGGGAUGAUAAUGUAAGAAGCUUGCAAUAAUUGGCAGCGAGUAGGUCGGCUUUCCGAACGACCCGUCUUGAAACACGGACCAAGGAGUAUAAUUAAGCAUCGAGUCGAUCGGUCUUGAAUAAGCCAGAUAAGUUGGGUUUUAAAACCCUCUAACUGAAGGCGUAGAGAAAUCAAAUCGUGUGAUCGUUCAGGCAAUUACAGCGUGAUCGCGCAACAUGUGCGUGUUCAUAUAGCAGUGUUAGCUAUAACUUGCUGGGCAGAGCAGAGAGAUGCGUGAGUGGUACC